rnacentral:ncRNA from 1 species
GGAUAGAGGCGCGGAGCGUAUCAGUACCGGCAAUGCGAGAACAGGCAAGGCGGCCGGGAAAGGACAAUCCGCCGAAAUGUACGGAUUCGGGGGCCUGCCCGGUCGUAUGUUGGGCCGUUGCAGAAUAUGCAGCGGACUGUCACGGAUGUGGAGCGCUAUCAU